rnacentral:rRNA from 1 species
CAUGUGACGAGUUUGAUCCUGGCUCAGAACGAACGCUGGCGGCAUGCCUAACACAUGCAAGUCGAACGAAGCCUUCGGGCUUAGUGGCGCACGGGUGCGUAACGCGUGGGAACCUACCAUCAGGUUCGGAAUAACAGUUAGAAAUGACUGCUAAUACCGGAUAAUGUCUUCGGACCAAAGAUUUAUCGCCUUUUGAUGGGCCCGCGUAAGAUUAGGUAGUUGGUGGGGUAAAGGCCUACCAAGCCGACGAUCUUUAGCUGGUCUGAGAGGAUGAUCAGCCACACUGGGACUGAGACACGGCCCAGACUCCUACGGGAGGCAGCAGUGGGGAAUAUUGGACAAUGGGCGAAAGCCUGAUCCAGCAAUGCCGCGUGAGUGAUGAAGGCCUUAGGGUUGUAAAGCUCUUUUACUGGGGAUGAUAAUGACAGUACCCAGAGAAUAAGCUCCGGCUAACUCCGUG